rnacentral:rRNA from 1 species
CCUACGGGAGGCAGCAGUGGGGAAUCUUGGACAAUGGGCGAAAGCCUGAUCCAGCCAUGCCGCGUGAGUGAAGAAGGCCUUAGGGUUGUAAAGCUCUUUUGCCCGGGAAGAUAAUGACGGUACCGGGAGAAUAAGCCCCGGCAAACUUCGUGCCAGCAGCCGCGGUAAUACGAAGGGGGCUAGCGUUGUUCGGAUUUACUGGGCGUAAAGCGCACGUAGGCGGAUUGUUAAGUCGGGGGUGAAAUCCUGGAGCUCAACUCCAGAAUUGCCUUCGAUACUGGCUUUCUAGAGGCUGGAAGAGGUUAGUGGAAUUCCCAGUGUAGAGGUGAAAUUCGUAGAUAUUGGGAAGAACACCAGUGGCGAAGGCGGCUAACUGGUCCAGAUCUGACGCUGAGGUGCGAAAGCGUGGGGAGCAAACAGGAUUAGAUACCCUAGUAGU